UCAAGACCAUGUUAGAAUGCAGUUACAUUAAGGGCAAAAGUACCAAAAUGCCUGUGUUCUAAAUUUGUAACCAUUGUAUUAGUUAGUACCUCAUACCAUUACGUACCCAAACACCAACUCUUCUGUAUGUUUUUAAAAAUGUGUCUGCCUAAGUAUUUCAGUUCACAAAAGUGUCAAUCAUUUGACCGUAUAUAAUUACAUUCACAGUUAUCAUUUUCUUCUUGUAAAAAAGUAGAAAGAGUUAUGUGAUCUCUGAAGAAUCGAUUAACUCUUUUAUGGGGGAGGGAUUACUGCAAGUUAUCUUUAGGAAAUAUAGACAUGCACUUUCAGAAAUUCUCCACAUGUGGACUAAAGGGGGCAGUGUUUCCUCGCAUAAAGAUGCCCAACUUCCGCUAAAAGUAGGGCAGUUCAGAGGUGAAACAGAAGGCUGUGUGGAAGGAAGUGAGUGAAGUGCUGGAGGGUGAAGGCAGGUUGAAGGGAACGGAGAGGUCACCUGCCUCCUCACGGGAGAAAUGGACCAGCUCCUGGGGGCAUCACUGUUGAUCCUGUGGCUUCAGCCAGACUGGGUGAGCAGUUAGCAGAAGAGUGGUGACCAGCAGCAGGUUAAGCAAACAUCUCCAUCCCUGAGUGUCCAAGAAUGAAGAGUUGCUAUUCUGAGCUGCGACUACAAUAGUAAUGUGUUUGAUUACUUCCAAUGGUACAAAAUGUACCCUGCGAGAGGUCCUGCACUCCUGAUAUCUAUAGGUUCAGAUAAAAAAGAAGAUGGAAGAUUCACAGUCUUCCACAACAAGAGUGCCAAACACUUCUCACUGCACAUUGCAGACUCCCAGCUGGGCGACACAGCCUUGUACCUGUGCGCAGCAAGUGCACAGUGCUCUCCAGGCACCUGCAGCCUGUACCCAAACCUGCAGCUGGGUCCAAGCCACCCCUACUUUAGGGUCUCAGAGUGGGAGGCAUGUAAACUUGCUUCCAUUUACACAAGACACUAGGGAGGGUGUGCUUUAAAGCAAGGGAGGCACGCUGAGCUUUUAGGAAGACUGAUACAUGGAAGUCCUGCUAAUGGGUCAAGGACAUCACUGGGAAUUCAGGUAUCCAAGAGUCUAACCAUUUUACUUCUUCAUUUACUAACUGUAGAGAAUAGGGUUUAUGUUCCAACAGCCUGACUACAGGACCCACAGUGCUGCUUCCCAGUAGAAGCCAUUAACCAAGCACACACACUUUUGAGAAGUUGCCAUUAAUUCAAUUUUUAGCACGUUUCUACAUCGAUGACCCAGGGAAGGGUCUGAUUAUCACUCACAGAUCAUGAAAGCCUGAUGCUAUUUAUAGGUAUUUUUUUUUAAAUAAAUGGCUGGAAGUUGCCCCUCAAGGGCUAAUUUUCUGAAGCUGAAGCUGAAGAUCCUAUAUAGUUGGAGAAUGCAGAAAUUCAGGAUACCUCUCUGGAAGCAAGGACAAGGCUCUCAAAUCUCAUUUAUGACAUGAGGUGUUUUUCUGUAAGAGGACUUCAGUAGGUGCUGAAGACUUUUUUGAAUAGACUAGAACUGAUCCAUAGUUUUGCAUAGCUUGGUUCAUCCAGGGAUCCUAGUGGGGAUGGUGUAACUAUAGGAGGAAAUCUACAGAUUGAUUAAUUCUGUCAGUUUUGAUUCUAUAUUUGUGAAUAUGGAUGUGAGGGUAACUCAAAGUGCAUUAGAUCCCUCAUCCCUCCAUAUGGGGGAGUAAGAGGGCACUUAUCUCAAGUGCAGUAUUUCCUUCAUGUUUGUUCAUGGCUUCCACUUACAUAGGAAGGUUCCAAGGUCCUUUUGGUAAUGCAUGGAAGUAAGAAUGAAAAGGAGGGAAUAAUCUGUACCUCCCUUCAUACUGAGGAUGGUUUGAUUUCAUAAAUAACAGAGGCCUCUGUUCCAAGACUCAGCCAAGUAAGUGAGCUGUGAAUAUUCCUGGCUCUUGGGCAUCCAGAGCCUGUUCCCAAACUCAGAACUGCAGCUAACGCACCCGGCAAAAGGCAGAGGCAGCUGAGAGCUGUUGCUGUCCUCUAGGGGAGUUAGGAAUACAGCCUUGAUGAAUCACUUCAUUCCAAUUUCAAAAAAUGCGAGGCAUGGAUGAAUAAUCAAGUUAGGUAUUGUACAUCCCUGUUCAUAACAACAGUAUUUCUAGUCAAUAACCAAAUAGGCUUUCUUAUCUCAGAUAUAUUUCACGUGAUUUAUUAAUUAUUCAAAGCCAGUUAUAUAGUCUCGUUAUAAUGGAGAAUGUUUACUCUGAUUGCCAUUAUGGUUUCCCUAUAUCAUGGCCCUGUAGGAAGGGAGCCCAAAAUAUGGGAAUAUGUGGAUGCUUUCUCUACAUUCCUAAGGCUACACAAAAGGUCAUGCCAGGAAAGGGAAAGCUACAUGCAGUCUCAUCCCUGUUAUUGUUGUCCAAGCUCUUCAUACUGCAUCACCCCCAUUUCCCCCAUCCCCACAGGUAGCAAUCUGCUCUUUCCUUGUUGUUAUAUUGAGAAGCAGCAUUGGUGGAGAGCUACUUUCUACAGCUGCCUGAGCCAUGAGUGUGCUGCCUUCUUGAACAGGAGAUCAACUUCUCUACAUCUCUCAAGACUUCAUGCAUAAUGCAAGACCAGUAAUUUCCACUGAAUACUGUCCUCAAGUUUUAGUUACUCAAUCAGAAAACACUUAUUCACCGAGUGCCUGGAACAUUCUACAUACAUGUUGCAUGCCUGAAAAUAAAAGAAGUAUGAGCAAAUAUAUAGUUAUGUAUAUAGGUAACUGACCAGACAGAGAAGACUGAAAAAAGACUAAGCCUAGGAAAGCAGGGGUGACAUGAAGGCAUAUGACCAUCCCCUCACUUGGCAGUGAGUCAGGAAACCCCAAAGUCUGAAGCCUAAGCUGAGACCUGAAGGUUUUGUAGGAUUAAUCAGGUUGAAAGAAGAUGGUAGAUAAGUGAUCUUUAAAACUACAAACACUGCAUUAAGGCAAUAAACAUCAUAAUGAAUUUCAGGACUGAAAGGCAAGGUUACUGAAUGAUAAAAUUAUACACACACACACACAUUAAAGCCAAACAACACUGCAAAGUAGAUUUUUAUGUAGAAUCAAAGUAGAUUAAAUUUUACAAAUGAAGAUUGACAAUGUUUGUGAAGUUCCCCAAAAUAUCCUCUAUUUACUUGAGAUGACUCCAAUGCGUCAUUCAUUUGACACCCAAUGUGUUUCUUAAUGCAGAAGAUGUAACCAGCAAGAAGUCGGCAUUGUGUCUCCCUUCGGGAGCAUGUAGUGGUGUAGGCUGUAUUACUAAAUAGUGUGAUCAAAGCCAUCCCAGGAGAAAAGUAAAAUAUGACCUCCUAACAGAGGCAUCUAAAUUGGAAGCUGAAUACAUGGGAGACUACCUAAGAGGGAUGGUAUCUUACUUAAGAUUUAUAAAAGCUAGUCAGAAAUGAAGUUAAAAAAAUAGAAAGAGAAUGUGCCAAGGUAUACACAGGAGGUUUCAUGUAGGGAAAUGACAUACAAGUAAUUCAGAUUGUCUGGAGCAUAGAACACCAAAUGGGUAAUAGUAAAUAUAAACCUAAAGCAAUGAGCAGAAACUACAUUCUGGGAAUAACUAUAAGCCACUGUAAAAUGCUUAUCUUCUGCCUUGAAGACAUUGGUGAGCACUGAAAGGGAUCUGAACAAGCAAAUGUUAUGUGAUACUCAUGAGAUAUUAUUUCACUAAUGAAAUAAAUGAAAUGUUGUAGCACUGAAAUACAGUCUGUUUUCAUGUUAAAUUUAUGUACAAUUGUACAUAUAUUUUCCCUAGUUUUUCUUUUAAUGUUGAGGUAAUUCUCACUAUAAGAAAUACAUUGGUAGAGACACGUAUUUUAUUAGAGUAUAUUGACAAGCUUUUCAUUAUAGCAAAAAAUGAUAUAUCUUGGACGUAAGCUUAGUCAAGGAAAGCCCAAAUCCACAUUUUACUCAACCUUUCUCAGCCCGGCCACAGGGGAGCACUGUUUAAAAGUAUUCUAAAGAGAUGCACACAAUUGGGUGUAAACAGUGAAAGUGCUGUCAUGUCUGCCUGAUGUUUGUCCCCCAAACAUGUGCUGUUCUGGAAACCACCCCAACAGGCAUCCCUCUGGGCUCAAAGUGCCUCCCACUGAGGAAGCUCAUUGAGAGGCGGACCUGGGCCUGACCUCCUGCCCCUGCCUUCCUCAGUAGAACUCAGGGAUCAUCAUUAUGUUUUCUUCAUUAAAAACUCAUAUAUAUCAUGCCAUAUUGUAAAUCUACUUCCACAUUUGUCUUUCUAUUGAGACCACCAGGUAUUUAAGACUACUGACUGCUUCAAAAUCAUGUUUAAACCCUAAAGCAUGCACAGUUGCCCAGUUCCAGG